GCAAGUCGAACGAGAACUUCCUUGCUUGCAAGGAAAAGUAAAGUGGCGCACGGGUGAGUAACGCGUGGGUAAUCUACCUUCGAAUCGGGGAUAACAUUGCGAAAGCGAUGCUAAUACCGGAUAAUAUUUUUGUUUCUUUGGAAGUAGAAAUCAAAGAUGGCCUCUUCUUGAAAGCUAUUGUUUGGAGAUGAGCCCGCGUACCAUUAGCUGGUUGGUGGGGUAAAGGCCUACCAAGGCAACGAUGGUUAGCUGGUCUGAGAGGAUGAUC
rnacentral:rRNA from 1 species